rnacentral:rRNA from 1 species
UACGUAGGGGGCAAGCGUUGUCCGGAUUCAUUGGGCGUAAAGAGCGUGUAGGCGGCCAGGUAGGUCGGUUGUGAAAACUGGAGGCUCAACCUUCAGAGGUCGACCGAAACCAUCUGGCUAGAGUCCGGAAGAGGAAAGUGGAAUUCCUGGUGUAGCGGUGAAAUGCGCAGAUAUCAGGAAGAACACCCGUGGCGAAGGCGGCUUUCUGGGACGGUACUGACGCUGAGACGCGAAAGCGUGGGGAGCGAACAGG